GCAACUUGGUCAUUUAGAGGAAGUAAAAGUCGUAACAAGGUUUCCGUAGGUGAACCUGCGGAAGGAUCAUUAUUGAAUAAACUUGGUAGACUGUAGCUGGCUCUUCUGAGCAUGUGCACGUUUGCCAUCUUUAUACAUCCACCUGUGCACCUUUUGUAGUCUUGGGGGGUUGAUAGCGGCCGACUAUCGGGAGAGGCUCUCUCUUUCGGAUGCGGGAAAUGCUGGCUCAGCUUUCCCAACAGGCCAUGAACUCUCCUCCCAGGUCUAUGUCUUUUCAUACACCACAUUACAUGUAUCAGAAUGUAUAUAUCAUGGGCCUUUGUGCCUAUAAAACUUUAUACAACUUUCAGCAACGGAUCUCUUGGCUCUCGCAUCGAUGAAGAACGCAGC
rnacentral:misc_RNA from 1 species